CUGUCGCUGACCUUUAUGGUUGUGCACGCUCUAGCACUCUCUCACAUCCAUCUCAC
rnacentral:rRNA from 1 species